rnacentral:rRNA from 1 species
AUCAGGUGGAGCAGGCCUCGCGCCCGCACCUCCCUCCCUUUGCAUACCGUAACCCGUUGCUCGAGCCGGCGGCCCCCGGGCCCCGGCGAGAGACCAUCUCAACCUCCUCUUUCGGAACGUCUGAGUCAUAUCAUAAUAGCAUAAAACUUUCAACAACGGAUCUCUUGGUUCCGGCAUCGAUGAAGAACGCAGCGAAAUGCGAUAACUAGUGUGAAUUGCAGAUUUACGUGAAUCAUCGAGUCUUUGAACGCACAUUGCGCUCCUUGGUUCUCCAGGGAGCAUGUCUAUCCGAGCGUCGUUGCACCCCUCAAGCCCAGCUUGGUCCUGGCGCGCGUCCCGUCCGCGGGGCCGCGCCCAAACGCAACUCGACGUGCCGACGGGCGGAGCGCAGCAGACAUGCAGCCCCGACCUGGCGUCGUCCGAGCCGCCCCGUGCGGAUCUCCAUAGGUUGACCUCGGAUUAGAUAAGGAUACCCGCUGAACUUAAGCAUAU